AUUGAACGCUGGCGGCAUGCUUUACACAUGCAAGUCGAACGGCAGCGCGGGCUUCGGCCUGGCGGCGAGUGGCGAACGGGUGAGUAAUGCAUCGGAACGUGCCCAGUAGUGGGGGAUAGGCCGGCGAAAGCCGGAUUAAUACCGCAUACGACCUGAGGGUGAAAGCGGGGGACCGAAAGGCCUAGCGCGAUUGGAUCGGCCGAUGCCGGAUUAGCUAGUUGGUGGGGUAAAGGCUUACCAAGGCGACGAUCCGUAGCUGGUCUGAGAGGACGACCAGCCACACUGGGACUGAGACACGGCCCAGACUCCUACGGGAGGCAGCAGUGGGGAAUUUUGGACAAUGGGGGCAACCCUGAUCCAGCCAUGCCGCGUGCGGGAAGAAGGCCUUCGGGUUGUAAACCGCUUUUGUUCGGGAAGAAAUACUCUGGGCUAAUACCCCGGGGGGAUGACGGUACCGGAAGAAUAAGCACCGGCUAACUACGUG
rnacentral:rRNA from 1 species